GUGCUCACUUCAGCAGCACAUACACUAAAAUUGGAACAAUACGGAGAAGAUUAUCAGCGCCCCUGUACAAGGAUGAGACACAAAUUUGAGAAAGAAAUUGAUGUUUU